CCUGUCGCCGCCCCCCGCCCUGUGCGGGCUCGCUCAUUCUCAAACCCCAGGUUGACCCAUUUCUCUCUCCCAUUGGCCCAUCGCAGCUCCAACCAUUGGUCUGAGCUACCUGUCCGUUUCCUGGGAGUGUUCAAGGAAGAGGCUGCGGUUUCAUUGGGCGCCUGAGAAAGGAAUGGGUGGUUCCGCAAAGGAGAUGCCUCUGCCCCAGUCCCUACCAGGUGGAUCAGCUUCGACUCCCCUCCGACUGAAUUGCACCCCUACUCCAUCUGUAACCUUUCGUCUAUUAAGGCCUUCAGGCCCACUGGAAUGCUCUUUAGAACUCUUAAAACUACAGUUCUUGCCCUUUAUGAGGACUGCAUACAGCUAGCUUGCCCUUCCUUGGGUUCUUGUUGGAAGAGAGUCCAAUAUCAUCGAUUUUUAGAAUUCAGACGAGAGAGAGAGAGAGACCACUUUAUUGGGGCUCAAUUUGAGGGUGGGAAAGCUGUCGGUGAAGUGGGCUUGGUCUCUCUGAAGAGACUCCAUUUUUCUACAAAUCUUGAAUUUCUUUCACCUGGGGGAAUUGCACCUUGGAUCGCGGUAACCUAUGUAGAUUAAGAAUCAAAGCUGAAUAUACACACAAAACGAUACUGCAAGGCAGACUUUCCAUCUAUCUUUUUGUUAUCCUCCACUUCUCAAACCUUAAGAAAGAGAUAGGUGGCCCCGAACAUUUCUUCUGUGCUUAAAUUCUUUCACAGCAAUAUAGAUUUUCAAUGAGAAGAUUCUGUGACUUUUCAAAAUAAGCCCAUGCUGAGAGGUCCUGCCUGAUCUCUGCUGAAGUUUUCCCCUUCCAUGGUAGGAAUAGGUCUGAUUUACUUGGCAAGUUUAGUGCUUCACGUUUUUUAUUGUUGUUAUUUAAUUUCAUUUUUUU